CCGCGCGCGCCGCCGGCCCGCCGUGGCCGAGCCGGGAGCCGUCGGCGCUGUUCGGGGGGAGCUUGGGACCUCAGGGCCGGAGGGCGUCUCUCAGGGGUUCCGAGGCAGCGCGAUCGUCUUCUAAGGGCGGCCGGGGCCCGAGGCCACAUAUGGCGAUGCGCCACUCGCCCGUUAUGUGCCCGGGCCCUUGGCCUUUCUUUAGUUCUUUUCUAACCCCGACCCCCCAUCUCGUUUCAGGGCCGGAGUGUCACUGGUGAGCCGCAGGGAGCUGCGCGGAUGGGAGCAGCGAAGCCUCCAGGAUGCCAGGCAGUUUGGAGUUUAGGAAAGCCUGUGUGUCAGGCAGGAGCCCCUUCUAGACUCAGAGUUUAAUGUGACCGGAAGAGAGGACUAAUGUGGGAAGUGGCAUUUGAUGAGAAAAAAAAAAAAAAAAUCCAACCCAUCAUGAGAUGGACCCUGGAGAGACCGGAGCCGGUCUGACGGAUGGCAGAGUCAGAGGCGGAAAGAAAAUUUAGGGGUGACAUCAAGGAGCCAAGAGCAUCAUUUCAGCGAAGGCGUGAUUCAGCUGCCAGAUACUACAGAGAAACCAAACUAAGGAUGAGAAAGUUAAUUUACCAGUAAGGAAAUAUGAGAGCCGUUUCAGAAAAUGAGGACAGGAAUCAGCUGAGUGAAUAUGGCCAUAAGGGAUGGGCGUCAGCGACACGAGGACGUGGAACCUAAGGUUUUCCCAUGUUGCAGUUAGAGCAUGUGCAUUAUUUUCUCGUAUGACCUCAGCGGUGCGGCAUCAGCCCCUCUGGCUCCAGAGGCACCCAGGUGGCCUCAGCCCUGGGCAAUGGCUGCUUGGCAACCAGCAUCCGAUAAAGUAAUGACGCGCUCGUAGACGGUGAUACCGGACACCGGCUGGGACCUUCAAGCACUCUUACCGUUUCUCUGUCGUUACAGAUCCAUUAAAAACUAUACACAUUAAAAAAUCAAACAAACCAAGAUUGCUUGAUAAACCUACUUAAAUAAUUUUCCAAGUUUAGCUGUUCCCCUCUUGGAAAGCAUACCAGAGCUGACGAGAGUCCCCGUUCCCUCUCAUACUCCGGCUGAGCCAGCACCUAACGCUAGGGCGGCAGAAAGUCUGCUCCGACAGACGGAGAGCCGCUUCCGAGUGUCAGACGACAAAACGUCUCUUUAAGCCUCCAAGCAUGUAUAUACAUCAUGGUGUAGCAAGAUGGUAAUUCUUUAGUCUCAUUUUUGGGAUGUUCUUCAAGGAAAGGAAAAAAAAAAAGGCACAGAGGACACUUGGUUUCCUUACCAACAGUGGCCUUAAACUAAACGCUUGCUUUUUGUGAGGAGUCUGAAGAAUACGCAGCGGCACCGGUGCCACAGCAUCCACAAAGUUGCAGGAAAUAACUUAAAAAAAAAAGAAAAAGCUUGCAGAAAAA